CUGGUGGCGAGUGGCGAACGGGUGAGUAAUACAUCGGAACAUGUCCUGUAGUGGGGGAUAGCCCGGCGAAAGCCGGAUUAAUACCGCAUACGAUCUACGGAUGAAAGCGGGGGACCUUCGGGCCUCGCGCUAUAGGGUUGGCCGAUGGCUGAUUAGCUAGUUGGUGGGGUAAAGGCCUACCAAGGCGACGAUCAGUAGCUGGUCUGAGAGGACGACCAGCCACACUGGGACUGAGACACGGCCCAGACUCCUACGGGAGGCAGCAGUGGGGAAUUUUGGACAAUGGGCGAAAGCCUGAUCCAGCAAUGCCGCGUGUGUGAAGAAGGCCUUCGGGUUGUAAAGCACUUUUGUCCGGAAAGAAAUCCUUGGUUCUAAUAUAGCCGGGGGAUGACGGUACCGGAAGAAUAAGCACCGGCUAACUACGUGCCAGCAGCCGCGGUAAUACGUAGGGUGCGAGCGUUAAUCGGAAUUACUGGGCGUAAAGCGUGCGCAGGCGGUUUGCUAAGACCGAUGUGAAAUCCCCGGGCUCAACCUGGGAACUGCAUUGGUGACUGGCAGGCUAGAGUAUGGCAGAGGGGGGUAGAAUUCCACGUGUAGCAGUGAAAUGCGUAGAGAUGUGGAGGAAUACCGAUGGCGAAGGCA
rnacentral:rRNA from 1 species